rnacentral:rRNA from 1 species
AUGGCGGGUCUGCCCAGCAAGCUCAUCGGGCUGCUGCUCCCCCUCUUCUUCGCCAUCUGCGUUGUCUGGGAGUUUGUCGUUCCGCUGACCACCUGCUGGGCAUGGCGCCUCGCACUCGCCACCGACUUUGCCCGAGCGCACCAUCUGCUCUCCCUGCGCCUAUCCGUGGCCUCAUGGACCUGCAUCCCUGCUUCAGUUGCGCUCUGCGUGGAGCUUGCACGCUUGGUUGCGCCAUUUUCUGUAGCUCCAUUUGCGCGCUGGGUUGCGCGCCUGGUAGCUCAGAUUCAGAGUCAGGAGCCUGGGUUAUAUGAGGCAUUGCAAGUCCUUUCGAUAUUUGCUGUUGAAGUUUCCUUGGUGGUGUUAAUAGUUGACAUGGCCCUUGCUUGUAUUCUUUGUUUUCUCCCAUUCUCUCUGGGAAGGAUAAUCCUAUGGCCAAGAUCAUGUCUCAAUGUUGGCAAUGUGGAUGAAAUCAAUUGUUACACUUCAACAGCUUCUACCCUUCUAAUUGGAUAUGGAUUUAUCUUUAAGGUGGGUGCAACUCUUGCUGGGUUGCAUACGUUUUAUCUCUACUUGAGGGGCAAGCGCCUUGUGAUUGCAAUUUUCUAUAGAAGUCUGCAUCCUAUAUUCUUCAGAGGGAUCGUAAAUUCAACCACUGUUGCAAAUGUUUCUCUUAAUAUCCUAAACAAUGUGAUUGUGUUCCCAUUGUUCUUCGGCUGGUCGCUUGGUAUCUGCACUUCGAAAUUGUUUGGUGCAACAAUGUCUCAGAGGUUCAAAUUCCUGGUUGCUUCAUCUUUUGCUUCUGCUGCCCUUCAUUGGCUUAUGGGAUUCUCCUUUUUGAAUCUACGCCGCAGAUUAGCCCGAUUUCUUCACAAGAUAUUGGGGCCAGGAGUGGCCACUCCCUUUCUCGACCGUAAUGUUUCCGAACUAUCAUACACAUUUUAUCUGAAGUGGCUUGUUGAUCUUCUUAUCGACACUAUCUUUAUUGCUCUGGUCAUUUCUGUUCCUAUCAAAAUUGUUGAUCUAUUGGCACCAACGGUGUUCCCUCUAGAAAUCCCAUACUUCGAUCAUCCUGCUAAGGGCACAUCAGUUUGGCAAGGGCCACUAAACUUUACAGAGUCACUUUCUGGUGUUAUUCAUAUGAGGUAUCUCAUUGGUAAAGUAGUUGUAUACCUUGAGCCCCUAGUGGAGAGGGUAAUGGGGUAUUGGUUUGUUACUACUGGACAGCCUCUUGGGAACAAUGUUGCGCCAAAAGACCAGUAUGGUAGCAGCGAUGAUGCUAAGGACGACUGGUAA